GGCAGCGGGCGAGGAGGCUGCGAGCGAGCCGCGAACCGAGCGGGCGGCGGGCGCGCGCACCAUGGGGGAGAAACCCGGGACCAGCUCACCGUGUACUUGGGCAAAAGGGACUUCGUAGAUCACCUGGACAAAGUGGACCCUGUAGAUGGCGUGGUGCUUGUGGACCCUGACUACCUGAAGGAUCGCAAAGUGUUUGUGACCCUCACCUGCGCCUUCCGCUAUGGCCGUGAAGACCUGGAUGUGCUGGGCUUGUCCUUCCGUAAAGACCUGUUCAUCGCCACCUACCAGGCCUUCCCCCCAGUGCCCAACCCGCCCCGGCCCCCCACCCGCCUGCAGGACCGGCUGCUGAGGAAGCUGGGCCAGCAUGCCCACCCCUUCUUCUUCACAAUACCCCAGAAUCUUCCAUGCUCCGUCACACUGCAGCCAGGCCCAGAGGACACAGGGAAGGUAUGGGAGGAACAGCUCUGAGGGCUCCUAGGGCAGGACAGGGACCAGCAGGAGCCUGGAGGCACAGCUGAGCCAGAGGGUGAACUGUCAAGAUGCCAGGGUG
rnacentral:sRNA from 1 species